GCUCGUACUUCACGAUGAAGAGGUAGCUGGACAUGGCUGCAAGAGGACAAGGACAACGGAGCGAUGCUGCUGCUGCUGAGUAAUCCAUGUUGGAUGACAAGCCUCUGAUCUCUAAUCUAUGAUUACUUUGAUGUUCAGAACGAUAUCCUGUUGGAUAAACACGUGUUUGGGAAAUAAAAUGGACCUACAGGAAUGUCCGCAGCACAUUGCCGGCCACAAUGAGAGUGGUGAGAGAACAGCAGUCAGUAAAAAUGUUCCUGAAAUAUAAGGUCACAACUCAGUCACAAGAAAACACCAACAGUUUGUGCUAGCGCUAUUGUAUAAAGAUUAAAUUGUCGCCUCAUUUAUUCCCCCCCCCCCACCCCCCCAAAAAAACGGAGAGGAGGACGUGCGCCACUAAUGAUCUUCCUACGUGAAACAUUCGUCUUGGAUUUUAUAGUACCACGUGAAACAUUUACUGAGACUUCGAAAUUAUUUUAAUAAUAAUAAUAAUAAAAGCUGACUCAUGUGAAAGCAUCAAAAUUAAAUCAGCUAAAUAUUUAUCAUUUAAAAUAAUAUAGUUUGACCUCUAAAUUGACUUCUUUUUAGAAUGACUUGUUUUGCAAUUGUCUUGAAAGAUAUUACUCUAAUAACAUUAGCAUCAAUUUCAACAUUUAAUAAAAAAUAAAACAAAGAGACUCAAAAUAAAUAAUGUUUAUUACUGCAGGUAUUAAUCUGAGCCUCUGUUUACAGCAAACUGUAGAAAGUACCACAGCAGCAUCAAUAGAAGAAACCUCAUCUAUGUGACUUUUAUUGUUAUUGCACUACACUACAGUGGAGCGUACGGCCUGACAUUCAUUCAUUUCAACAUUUUAUUUACAAUAAAGCCAAAAAAAAAAAA